AUUGAACGCUGGCGGCAGGCCUAACACAUGCAAGUCGAACGAGUGGCGGACGGGUGAGUAAUGUCUGGGAAACUGCCUGAUGUAGGGGGAUAACUACUGGAAACAGUAGCUCAUACCGCAUACCAUCGGAUGUGCCCAGAUGGGCUUAGCUAGUAGGUGGGGUAAAGGCUCACCUAGGCAACGAUCCCUAGCUGGUCUGAGCGGAUGACCAGUCACACUGGAACGGAGACACGGGCCAGACUCCUACGGGAGGCAGCAGUGGGGAAUAGUGCACAAUGGGCGCAAGCCUGAUGCAGCCAUGCCGCGUGGAUGAAGAAGGCCUUCGGGUUGUAAAGAAUUUUCAGCGAGGAGGCGUUACUCGCAGAAGAAGCACCGGCUAACUCCGUGCCAGCAGCCGCGGUAAUUC
rnacentral:rRNA from 1 species